GGUUAAGCGACUAAGCGUACACGGUGGAUGCCCUGGCAGUCAGAGGCGAUGAAGGGCGUGCUAAUCUGCGAUAAGCGCCGGUAAGGUGAUAUGAACCGUUAUAACCGGCGAUACCCGAAUGGGGAAACCCAGUGUGACUCGUCACACUAUCAUUAACUGAAUCCAUAGGUUAAUGAGGCGAACCGGGGGAACUGAAACAUCUAAGUACCCCGAGGAAAAGAAAUCAACCGAGAUUCCCCCAGUAGCGGCGAGCGAACGGGGAGGAGCCCAGAGCCUGAAUCAGCAUGUGUGUUAGUGGAAGCGUCUGGAAAGGCGCGCGAUACAGGGUGACAGCCCCGUACACAAAAGCGUAUGUGCUGUGAGCUCGAUGAGUAGGGCGGGACACGUGGUAUCCUGUCUGAAUAUGGGGGGACCAUCCUCCAAGGCUAAAUACUCCUGACUGACCGAUAGUGAACCAGUACCGUGAGGGAAAGGCGAAAAGAACCCCGGCGAGGGGAGUGAAAAAGAACCUGAAACCGUGUACGUACAAGCAGUGGGAGCCCCACCACUAAGCCAGUGGUGAACUCCACAUACGCAUCCUUUGCUGAGGAUACGGUUAACGGAGCGAAAGCGACGUUCAACCGCAAAAGAAGCAGAGGGGGCUUAGUGGUGGGGUGACUGCGUACCUUUUGUAUAAUGGGUCAGCGACUUAUAUUCUGUAGCAAGGUUAACCGAAUAGGGGAGCCGGAGGGAAACCGAGUCUUAAC
rnacentral:rRNA from 2 species